CCCUUAGAUGUUCUGGGCUGCACGCGCGCUACACUGACGCACGCAACAGGUGCCUGCUCCGAGAGGACUGGGUAAUCAUUUGAGUGUGCGUCGUGAUGGGGAUAGAAUAUUGUAAUUAUUACUCUUCAACGAGGAAUUCCUAGUAAGCGCCAGUCAGCAGCUUGCGCUGAUUACGUCCCUGCCCUUUGUACACACCGCCCGUCGCUCCUACCGGUGGGUGAUCCGGUGAAUGAUUCGGACUUCAGCGGCUCCCCUGGGGUGCGCCGGAGAAAGUUUUGUGAACCUUAUCACUUGGAGGAAGGAGAAGUCGUAACA
rnacentral:rRNA from 1 species